rnacentral:rRNA from 1 species
AUUGAACGCUGGCGGCAUGCCUUACACAUGCAAGUCGAACGGCAGCACGGGAGCAAUCCUGGUGGCGAGUGGCGAACGGGUGAGUAAUGUAUCGGAACGUACCUUCAGUGGGGGAUAACGUAGCGAAAGUUACGCUAAUACCGCAUAUUCUGUGAGCAGGAAAGCAGGGGAUCGCAGGACCUUGCGCUGAUUGAGCGGCCGAUAUCAGAUUAGCUAGUUGGUGAGGUAAAGGCUCACCAAGGCGACGAUCUGUAGCGGGUCUGAGAGGAUGAUCCGCCACACUGGAACUGAGACACGGUCCAGACUCCUACGGGAGGCAGCAGUGGGGAAUUUUGGACAAUGGGCGCAAGCCUGAUCCAGCCAUGCCGCGUGAGUGAAGAAGGCCUUCGGGUUGUAAAGCUCUUUCAGCCGGGAAGAAAACGCAUGGGUUAAUACCCUGUGUGGAUGACGGUACCGGAAUAAGAAGCACCGGCUAACUACG